rnacentral:miRNA from 1 species
UAUGUAUUGGAUUGGCCCAAAAGUUUGUUCAGGUUUUCCCAUUCCAUCUUAUGGAAAACCCAAGCAAACUUUUGGGCCAAGCCAAUA